UGGGGAAUUUUCGACAAUGGGGGGAACCCUGAUCGAGCCAUCCCGCGUGUGGGACGAAGGCCUUCGGGUUGUAAACCACUUUUCUCAACGAAGAAAAGUCUUAGGCUAAUACCUUAAGAUGCUGACGGUAGUUGAGGAAUAAGCACCGGCUAACUAUGUGCCAGCAGCCGCGGUAAUACAUAGGGUGCAAGCGUUAAUCGGAAUUACUGGGCGUAAAGGGUGCGCAGGCGGCUUGGAAAGAACGGUGUGAAAUCCCGGGGCUCAAACCCCGGAACUGCACUAUUAACUAUCAAGCUAGAGUAUGUCAGAGGGGGUGGAAUUCCGCGUGUAGCAGUGAAAUGCGUAGAUAUGCGGAGGAACACCAAUGGCGAAGGCAGCCCCCUGGGAUAAUACUGACGCUCAGGCACGAAAGCGUGGGUAGCAAAACAGGAUUAGAUACCC
rnacentral:rRNA from 1 species